GAUGAACGCUAGCUACAGGCUUAACACAUGCAAGUCGAGGGGCAGCAUGGUCUUAGCUUGCUAAGGCCGAUGGCGACCGGCGCACGGGUGAGUAACACGUAUCCAACCUGCCGUCUACUCUUGGACAGCCUUCUGAAAGGAAGAUUAAUACAAGAUGGCAUCAUGAGUCCGCAUGUUCACAUGAUUAAAGGUAUUCCGGUAGACGAUGGGGAUGCGUUCCAUUAGAUAGUAGGCGGGGUAACGGCCCACCUAGUCUUCGAUGGAUAGGGGUUCUGAGAGGAAGGUCCCCCACAUUGGAACUGAGACACGGUCCAAACUCCUACGGGAGGCAGCAGUGAGGAAUAUUGGUCAAUGGGCGAGAGCCUGAACCAGCCAAGUAGCGUGAAGGAUGACUGCCCUAUGGGUUGUAAACUUCUUUUAUAAAGGAAUAAAGUCGGGUAUGCAUACCCGUUUGCAUGUACUUUAUGAAUAAGGAUCGGCUAACUCCGUGCCAGCAGCCGCGGUAAUACGGAGGAUCCGAGCGUUAUCCGGAUUUAUUGGGUUUAAAGGGAGCGUAGAUGGAUGUUUAAGUCAGUUGUGAAAGUUUGCGGCUCAACCGUAAAAUUGCAGUUGAUACUGGAUAUCUUGAGUGCAGUUGAGGCAGGCGGAAUUCGUGGUGUAGCGGUGAAAUGCUUAGAUUUCACGAAGAACUCCGAUUGCGAAGGCAGCCUGCUAAGCUGCAACUGACAUUGAGGCUCGAAAGUGUGGGUAUCAAACAGGAUUAGAUACCCUGGUAGUCCACACGGUAAACGAUGAAUACUCGCUGUUUGCGAUAUACAGCAGGCGGCCAAGCGAAAGCGUUAAGUAUUCCACCUGGGGAGUACGCCGGCAACGGUGAAACUCAAAGGAAUUGACGGGGGCCCGCACAAGCGGAGGAACAUGUGGUUUAAUUCGAUGAUACGCGAGGAACCUUACCCGGGCUUAAAUUGCAGAUGAAUUACGGUGAAAGCCGUAAGCCGCAAGGCAUCUGUGAAGGUGCUGCAUGGUUGUCGUCAGCUCGUGCCGUGAGGUGUCGGCUUAAGUGCCAUAACGAGCGCAACCCUUGUUGUCAGUUACUAACAGGUUCCGCUGAGGACUCUGACAAGACUGCCAUCGUAAGAUGUGAGGAAGGUGGGGAUGACGUCAAAUCAGCACGGCCCUUACGUCCGGGGCUACACACGUGUUACAAUGGGGGGUACAGAGGGCCGCUACCACGCGAGUGGAUGCCAAUCCCAAAAACCUCUCUCAGUUCGGACUGGAGUCUGCAACCCGACUCCACGAAGCUGGAUUCGCUAGUAAUCGCGCAUCAGCCACGGCGCGGUGAAUACGUUCCCGGGCCU
rnacentral:rRNA from 1 species